UAUAUAUAUAUAUAGAGUUGAGCUAGAAUACUCUCGAUAGUAAACGACGCAUAUAUAUAUAUAUAUAUAUAGGCUAUGGCUACUAUACUAUUAUGAGUAUUAGAGCCCUCGUACUCAUAAGUUGUUUUGAAUGAUGGAGCUUCCGAAUCGACGAUCCACUCCGUUAAAUAUGAUUUAGAGUAUUUGAAACUUCUAGAAAAUAAAUUUCGUAAAUUUUCAAAAUCAUAAUAAAGACCAUCAAGUGGGCAUAAAAUGAACGGUCAAAAUCGACGACGUCCUAAAAAAGGAUGAUCGGAUCCUUCAAUUCAAGAUCAGAGUUAUUGAUCUUUAUCUAUGUAGUGAACAGAAUUUUCUAUCAAAAAUUCAACAAAUUUCGAUUUUUUUACACUGUUAAACUAGCAAGUAUUCCAUACCGGCCGUUAAAAAUUGUCAAAUUUGUGACCUCUUGAUCGUAAGGUAAAUGAUAUCGCAAAAUUAUAAAAUUUGAUUUCUAGGAAUUUUAAAUGCUGUAAAAAACGUUUAACGGUAUGAAUCGUCGAUUCGGAAGCUCUAUCAUCGAAAACGAUUUAUGAGUACGAGAGCGAUCGUUCUCAUAAUAGUAUAAUAGCCGGACCCUAUAUAUAUAUAUAUAUAUAUAUAUAUAGAGUUGGACUGGGCUACUAUUAGUAGCAAAAUCCUAUUGUUGCUAUCAAUUUUUUAGCCUUUGGAUCAACUCUUUUCAUUAUUUCUAACCAUUGGAUUAAAUACUAUAACCCAGUGGGGACCACU
rnacentral:lncRNA from 1 species